UACGGGGGGGGGUAAGCGUUGUUCGGAAUUACUGGGCGUAAAGGGCUCGUAGGCGGCCAACUAAGUCAUACGUGAAAUCCCUCAGCUUAACUGGGGAACUGCGUGUGAUACUGGAUGGCUUGGAUUUGGGAGAGGGAUGCGGAAUUCCAGGUGUAGCGGUGAAAUGCGUAGAUAUCUGGAGGAAUACCGGUGGCGAAGGCGGCAUCCUGGACCGGCAUUGACGCUGAUGAGCGAAAGCUAGGGGAGCAAACGGGG
rnacentral:rRNA from 1 species